CGCAUGGUUCAAUAGUGAAAGACGGAUUUGCUGUCACUUAUAGAUGGAUCCGCGCCGCAUUAGCUAGUUGGUAAGGUAACAGCUUACCAAGGCAACGAUGCGUAGCCGACCUGAGAGGGUGAUCGGCCACACUGGAACUGAGACACGGUCCAGACUCCUACGGGAGGCAGCAGUAGGGAAUCUUCCGCAAUGGGCGAAAGCCUGACGGAGCAACGCCGCGUGAGUGAUGAAGGUCUUCGGAUCGUAAAACUCUGUUAUUAGGGAAGAACAAAUGUGUAAGUAACUAUGCACGUCUUGACGGUACCUAAUCAGAAAGCCACGGCUAACUACGUGCCAGCAGCCGCGGUAAUACGUAGGUGGCAAGCGUUAUCCGGAAUUAUUGGGCGUAAAGCGCGCGUAGGCGGUUUUUUAAGUCUGAUGUGAAAGCCCACGGCUCAACCGUGGAGGGUCAUUGGAAACUGGAAAACUUGAGUGCAGAAGAGGAAAGUGGAAUUCCAUGUGUAGCGGUGAAAUGCGCAGAGAUAUGGAGGAACACCAGUGGCGAAGGCGACCUUCUGGUCUGUAACUGACGCUGAUGUGCGA
rnacentral:rRNA from 1 species